CUACCGCAGUUGGUUUUGAGGGGAAGAUUUUUACAGUCUUUGUCAGCUAUAGCUGUGUGGGGGAAUGAAAACUACACUCCACAGUGAGGUGUAUGAUUUAUAUGUGGUUCAUUACUAUUUUAUGGCCUGGAAG
rnacentral:snoRNA from 1 species